UUGAUUUUUUGUUUUUUGUUUUCCACCACUUUCACCGCUCUUAUCACAUUCUAACUUUUUUUUUUUCCACUGCUUGCCGCUUGGUAUAAGAGUGAUUUUCAUCUUCUUUGGUUGAGGUCUAUGUUUCUUGGUUCGGGGUGGGUGUUUCUCGAUUCUUCUCCGUCCUUUUUUCUGUUGUUGCUCCGUGGGGUGAUUUCUAUUCGGCACUGAAUUCAAUAUGCUUCCUUCAUAGCAGGAUUGUUCCACUUCUAUAUUUUUUGGUGCAGCAUGGAGUGCUUAGAUUCUCACAUGGGCCUUCUUCCACCACGCACAGGUGAGUUUGUGCCAUCUCCCAAUUCAACCUGCAAGCCGGCAACAUUAGACUCGAAGAAACCUCCUCUGCCGGCUAGAGAACAUGCACGGGAACAACCUUAGAAGCAACAUGCGCCCCUUCGACCACCACACACGACUCAGGUUGUCCAAUUUCUAGCCCCAAGACUGGUGGCAGCGACGCAAAAUCCUCUACAGAGAUCUCCACCCCCUUCGGCUCCACCACGAUCUCUCCCUCCUCCAUUUCUUCUCGUCGGCGUAACCUUACCUGCUCGUCAGCAUGGUCGACUGAGACCGGCAGUUUUUUCUGUGCCGAUGGGGGUGCCGGCAACCUGUUUAAUGGUGCGGAAAGAGCAUAACCGUAAUGGUAUUUUUAUCAUUAUCUCGGAAUUUGGUCAUAAUAAGAGGAGAGGUUUGAUAGUGGUAUCGAAAGGGAGGAAGGGAGAGGGGUGGAAGAACUUCAUAGAUGCUUUAAUGGAGUUCCAUUCACCCUCUGCUUUGAGCUUGGGAAACAGAGUUAUUCAUGAAGCUCAGGCAGGUUACAGCGAGGUGCAUCGUGCUGCUAGACGUACAACGUCGAUAGUAGGAGGUGCAAGGUCGUACAGCGAGGUGCUCCAAAUGAAGAAGGGACUGUCUCGAGACGUGAGGGCCAUGCUGCUAGACGUGCCCAACGUGCAGAGGCAGGAGCUGGUGGAGGUGGUGAUGAAAAUGAUUCUGAAGUGAAUACAAAAUCUAUGGGUGCAACCGCUGGACUUCUCAGUUGCUUCAUACACGAGGUAAUGCAUGUCCUUGGUUUUGAUCACCAUGCCUUUGCUCAUUUUCAAGAUGAGAGGAAAAUACAGCCAAGUCAUGUAAGCACUUCUCUUAUUAGACUCCUGAGGGUAAAAUUUUUAACCAAUGUUCUUACAAAAGCAUUUCUUUAUUUUUGCAUUUGCUGAUAAUAGCUUGAAGGAUAACAUGUUGACAAUCAAGUAUUUGCAUUUAUCUGAGCGUUUGAAGUGUCUUGAUGUUCCAUUUGAAAUUCAGAUUAUCUUUCUGUGUUUAAAAUUGAAUUCAGGUUCAUUUGUUUCUCACUAUGUUCAUCUUCAAAUCUUGUCGUGUCUGGACAAGUUAAUGUAAAUAGUGACUUACUCAUAAUGAAAUUGUAUUCUUCUUGGAUACUGAGAUUUUGAAUGUGUUUAUUCUAACCGAAGGCUUAACUAAUAGCUCUAAUAUUGACCCCUGCAAAAUUGCGGUUAAGGCGUAUACCACAGAUGAAAACUGGCAGGUAAUUACUUGUUAUGCUUGUCAGAUAAUUUAUUGAUUAGUUUCUUCUGUCAAAAGCUAAUUUAACAGCUUGUCCUAAUAGGUUGUAAAUAUUAAUGAAGUGUGAGACUUCGCCAGUAACAAAAAGUACAUAUAUGUGUUCAAAGGAAUAUGCUCAUUAUUAAUAACAUGAAUAUUGACACGUAUAUCACUGUGUGCAUUGGGUGGCCUUUUAUUUUUCUUUAUUUCCUUUUUUAAGGGUCAGUUUCUUUGGGGUUUGGGGGAGGGAUUUCCUACUUCCUUCGUUUGAAUUUGAAUUAAUCCACUAUAUUCAUAAUUUAUUCUUUUAAAGGGUUAAUUACACUUUGCCCCCUCCAACUAUCACCUAAUUUACAAUGUACCUCUGAAAUUAUUGAUUGUAUCAAAGUGGACUCUCUUACUUUCAAAACGUCUCAAUCCCCCCUUUUCGUCUACAAUGAGUGUUAAAUUGAACGGAAGACUCACACACGUGCUUCUCACAUGCUAAUCCUUCAAUGCAAAGACAAAAUCAUCCCUCAUUCCAUCGGCUUUCAUUUCUCCAAACUGAACUUCAUAUCCAAAAAUUUUCAAACUCCAUGGCCAAAACGACUCGUUUUAUUAAUAAUGUACAAAAACGGUUUUGUUUCAAAGUGAAGAACGUCUGGCUUGAAGCCAUUGAGAGCGAUGGAGAAAUAAGUUAGGGCAGACUGUAAAGAAGGUGGGCGAUGAAGAACCCUAGCAAACCUGCCGACCACGGUGUGAGCUACCAACCACGACGUCGGCGUCCCCUUCGAGUUGUUGGUGACUCCAUUGCAGAGCAGUUUUUUGGUAGAGCUCUCAUUCAAAUUGCUUUCUCCAUCACAGGUAUCUCAGUGAUUAUUAAUAUUGAUAACAAAUCUCUCACCUUGAUGUAGUUCAAAAAUUCUAUAAAUGACUGUACGUUGUUAGGUAAAAAAAUGAUUGGAGUUUAUUGUAGCUCAAGAAUGCUAUAAAUGAUUGUACAUUGUAGCUCAACAAUGUUCCAGUUUAUUUGCCAUGAUAUUGAUUUGAUACCAUGUUUAGAAAAUGUUCUAGUUUAGUUUGCUAGGAUUCUUUUCUCCUUUUGUAUAAAGAUGCAGUAGUCUGUAAAGAAUAAUAUUGAUUCAAUUCUAUAGAGCAGAAAUUUUUUGGCUCAUCAACCUCUUUUUUGAUUGUUUCCUUUCUACACUCAUAAUCCUGACAUAUUUCAGCAGGUUGUGAAAGAUAUCUACUGGUUCAUCUAGCACAAGUGGGGUGGUAUAGCACCACUUGAUGGCCCAUUUUGUCGUUGCAAUAUGCGAACAUGUCUAAGAAUGUCAACUACGGAUGAUAACUAUAAAAGGAAGUUCUUGAGAUGCCCAUAUUGGACUCCUGGUUGUCAAUAUGGGGGUGGAGAUAUGUUUUGUACAUUUUUUUAUUGGGUAGAUGAUAUUUUUGCUCCGCGUACGGAUAUGUCUUUGGCCAGCUGCGAGAUAGCUUCGAAUACAGAGUCGUAAGUUCAAGAUUGAGAAGUCCAAAUUGGGAGCUAAUUUAGUGGUGGAGAGAGAGCGCAGGAAACAUAUCCAAGAGUUAUGCAAUAAGUUGAAGGAAAAAUCUACGAAAUUAGAGGCUAACUUAGUGAUAGAGAGGGAGCGCAUUGAGCAUAUCCAACAGUUUUUAUAUAAGGAGAAGGAAAAGUCAAAAUAUUUGUGCAAGAAAUACAAUAAUUGCAUAUGGUGUGGUGCCAUUAUAAUUGAUCUAGUUGUUGCUGUUAUUUGCA